rnacentral:piRNA from 1 species
UGGAAGUUUGGUGUAAAGAAGCAACAUCUA